GUCAGCGUGGUAUUAUGGUUUGAACCUGGGAUUAUAACUCUGGAGACCAAGGUUCGAAUCCCUGCUCAGCCA